CCAAACUUGGUCAUUUAGAGGAAGUAAAAGUCGUAACAAGGUUUCCGUAGGUGAACCUGCGGAAGGAUCAUUAACGAGUGAGGGUUUCCCUUGCGGGCCCAAUCUCCACCCGUGUUUAUCUUUACCUGUGUUGCUUCGGCGGGUCCACUGGGGCCUCAAUCACCCCGGUCGCCGGGGGGUUUCUCUACAGCUCCUGUAGAACCCCCGGGCCCGUGCCCGCCGGAGACCCAAUCGGAACCUUCGAAAUGAAAUCUUUAGUGAGUCUGAGUGGUUAACAAUCGUUAAAACUUUCAACAACGGAUCUCUUGGUUCCAGCAUCGAUGAAGAACGCAGC
rnacentral:misc_RNA from 1 species